GACAGAGGGUGCAAGCGUUGUUCGGAAUUAUUGGGCGUAAAGGGCGCGUAGGCGGCCUUGUAAGUCAGAUGUGAAAUCCCCGGGCCUAACCCGGGAAGUGCAUCUGAUACUGCUAGGCUUGAGUCUCAGAGAGGGUGGUGGAAUUCCCAGUGUAGAGGUGAAAUUCGUAGAUAUUGGGAGGAACACCAGUGGCGAAGGCGGCCACCUGGAUGAUGACUGACGCUGAGGCGCGAAAGCGUGGGGAGCAAACAGG
rnacentral:rRNA from 1 species